rnacentral:rRNA from 1 species
GUGGGGAAUCUUGCGCAAUGGGGGAAACCCUGACGCAGCAACGCCGCGUGGGUGAUGAAGGCCUUCGGGUCGUAAAGCCCUGUCAGGUGGGAAGAAACAUGUUGAUGCCAAUACCAUCAGCACUUGACGGUACCACCGGAGGAAGCACCGGCUAACUCCGUGCCAGCAGCCGCGGUAAUACGGAGGGUGCAAGCGUUGUUCGGAAUUAUUGGGCGUAAAGCGCGUGUAGGCGGUCAUGUAAGUCAGAUGUGAAAGCCUUCCGCUUAACGGGAGAAGUGCAUUUGAAACUGCAUGACUGGAGUACGGGAGAGGAGAGUGGAAUUCCCGGUGUAGAGGUGAAAUUCGUAGAUAUCGGGAGGAACACCAGUGGCGAAGGCGGCUCUCUGGCCUGAUACUGACGCUGAGACGCGAAAGCGUGGGGAGCAAACAGGAUUAGAAACCCCUGUAGUCC